CCCGCUCGCCGGAAGACCAAGGGUUCCUGUCCAACGUUAAUCGGGGCAGGGUGAGUCGACCCCUAAGGCGAGGCCGAAAGGCGUAGUCGAUGGGAAACGGGUUAAUAUUCCCGUACUUGGUGUUACUGCGAAGGGGGGACGAAGAAGGCUAGGCCGGCCGGGUGACGGUUAUCCCGGUUUAAGCGUGCAGGUGGGUGGUUUUGGAAAAUCCGGACCGCCGUUAACACUGAGGCGUGAUGACGAGGCGCUACGGCGCUGAAGUGGUUGAUGCCCUGCUUCCAGGAAAAGCCUCUAAGCUCCAGGUAACAUCAAAUCGUACCCCAAACCGACACAGGUGGUCAGGUAGAGAAUACCAAGGCGCUUGAGAGAACUCGGGUGAAGGAACUAGGCAAAAUGGUGCCGUAACUUCGGGAGAAGGCACGCUGACAUGUAGGUGAAGUGAUUUACUCAUGGAGCUGAAGUCAGUCGAAGAUA
rnacentral:rRNA from 1 species